ensembl:lncRNA
UUAGUGGGUGGAGACAAUGCAUUCAUCAGGGCAUCUGUUAAAACACACCUCAAAUAACUAAUAAAAGAAAACAAGUCAGUCUGCUCUCCCACAGGCACUCCCUGUUAUUUUUAUGCACGAACGUCAUUAUCUUUGGCAUUGUUUUUUAAAUAGUCCCAGAUUUCAUAAUCAACAUCAACUCCUCUUUCCUCAUGAGACAGUCAGAGAGAGAGGCUGAAAAUAAGCAUGCAGAGCUGAUAUGACACUGACCAGUGUUUAACCUAGUCAGGUUUAAAACAUAGUUAUUCUGUUCUUCCUGGGGGGAAAAAGCUUAAUCAUUUAGAAUAGUUUUAUUUAGCUUUGAAUGAGCAGAAGUGGAUGAAAUGCCGGCUGGGAAAAGCUCGUCUCUCUGCCAGAUUUUACUGUCUGUCUGCCUCCUGUUUUCCUCUACAGAUGGGAAAAUCAUCAAAGCUGAGUCUGGACAGAACGUGUCUCUGCCAUGUCAAACUCCAAACAUCAGCAUGCCCAUCAGAGCUGUGGAGUGGUUCAGACUUGACCUGCAGGAAGGACAUGUUCUCAUGUACCGGGGUGAGCAGUUUAUUUCAUUCAACCAGCUUCCAUCGUUUGUGAACCGGGUGGAUCUGCAGGACAGACAGAUGAAGGACGGAGACGUGUCUUUGACUCUGAAGGAUGUGACGAGUGAUGACACUGGAACAUUUCAGUGUUACGUGGUCCAGAGAGGAACAAAUGGCAGGAAAAGCAUUUUUGAGUAUAUCAGCACCGUCUACCUGAGAGUUGUUCCUCCAGGUCAGCCAGGAGGACACAGGAAAGGCAAAGGGAACGAGGAUGUAUCCUCUGGACUGGACUUUUGUUUAACAGUUAGUGUUAUACUUGUUACGCUAGCUCUUGCUUUUUUUAUGACCUUCACAAUACCCAAAACACAGGAGAAGAAGAUUUGAUCCAGACCUCAGAUGACUCGACAGGUGAACCUUAAGUCACCUACCCACUAAACAUUGGACAUGGGAUAGACGUGCAGAUCAUGUCUAUACUGGGUCCAUCAGUCCAUGACCAAUUCUGAACAUCUAUAUAUCCAAACUAGGUCCACAACUUGAAAGACCUCAUCUGGUGUUACAGAAAUGGCAGAUAAAAGUCACUCCGAGGUCACUUUGCUCAGUGGGUUGUAGAUGUCUAACACCUGAAUUUAUUUAAUAAUGUCUUUAGUGUUUCUUUAGAAACAUUAUUAAAAAGAUAAAAAAGUAAAUGAAUGAAAUAAAGUGUUUCCUUUUCCAAGAUUGUUUAGCUGUUAAAAAGCAAUCAUUUAAAUCAAAGCUGGAUGUAGUCAAGUCUUCAUAGAGCAGCCAGUCCCAAAUGACUGCUACAAUCCACUUUCACCAAAACUUAUUUUUUAUUUCCAGAAUUAUUUAUAUCAUUAUGUUUUCAUUUAUUAAUUUGAUGAUUAAAUUUUUUGGGAAGCAGUGUGUGACACCUAUAAAUGUAUGAUAACAUACAUCAUGUUGAAACAGGAUUUCUACAUGAUCUAGUCCUCACUCAUUUUGUUUCUAUACUGUACAUACAGCCUGGUAUAUAUUUCUUUGGGAGACGGUGGAAUAUGUUUGUCACUGUCAGACGUUGUGUAUUGUUGUAUGUGUUCAGAGAUAAAGAGAGUUUACAAAGUGAAUAAUAAGCAGGUUAAUCAGUGUUAGUGAAUCUGCUCAGAUAUAUUAUUGAAGCUGCAGAGCAGGAGGAUUUAGUUGUAAGUUACACUGCAUGUAAAAGGGAUUGUGGAGCAGGGAAAUUAUUUUACUGCUAUUGUUAAAAAUCAUUAUUACCAGCAUAAUAUAAUCUGCAAUAUGAUCAUUGCUCUAACAAUGUAACAGAUAGCUUUAAGAUGGCCUUAAGAUGUUUAUGAUGAUGUUAACUUUGUAUUCCAGGUGCAGUUAUAACUAUUUUAUACAUAUUGCAUAUCUGUGCUUAUUUGAGUUGAUGUUCAGGUUCAUUAAUGGUCUAAAGCUUCACCUAGUGAGAGUGUCUAGAUGAUCCAUGCUGAGGGAAAUCUAGAACAUAGAAGGAAUUGCAGUACAUGCUUACACAACAGUUCAUUUUAAUAUCUUUUAUAUGUUCAUAUUCUUGAAUUACACUUUUAGUAGAGGUUCUUGGUUAAAACAUUUAUUUAGUAGAGGACAUAUACAUAGUCCCAGUUAGGUUGUAACACAUAAGGAUGAGCCUCUGUUCUGGUAAAAGGUCAGAAGUGCAACAGGUGAAUUGAGAAAGAGCAUGUGAGGUCGUGACACACACACAUGAGUUAGAUUUAUUUAGAGGAGAGAGAGAUUAGUCAUGUCUGGAUUGUAACGGCGAAAGUGUCUCGGUAAAAGAGGAACCGUCCUUGUCUUCUCGGCAAGAAAGAGGAACUGAAAGGUUGACCAGAGGAAUCGGCCAUGAAAAUAGAAGAUGAUCUUCUGUGUUAAAAGUCAUGGUUGUUUUGAUAUUGACGUAUGUAUAUAUCCUGUCUGUGACGCAUGAAGGGGCGUCAGUAAAUCAAGCCCUGAUGUUAUAAAAUAAUUGUUUGUGCUUUAGUAAGUCGAAGAUCACUUGCUGUCUGCGUACAGAGUGUUCUUCCCACACGUGUGUAUUCAUUAAAAAUCAUCGUUUGACCAAGAGCUUCUGGACCAAGGGUGGUUUGUACUCUCCUUCCUCAAUUUUGAACCUUAACAGGAUCAAUAAAAGGUCAUUAUUGUGUAAAUUUAUACCUAAACAAACAAGGUAACCAGGUGGGUUUAAAGAUCUUAACCUGAGUUAACGUUGUGUUUUUAUGUGACGACAAGAUGACAGUGUGUACAUGGACAAAAAAAGAUGGUGAAAUUCUGUUUAAUAAAUAGAUGAGGAAGAGUUUGCAGACUGAACACAACUUAUGUCUCCUGCUCGUGUUUUUCUGUAUAAAACAGGCCCAUCUGAAUGCCUGCAACAGCUACAACGAGCUCUCAUGUUCCCUGUUUCUCAUGAAAACACUGCAAAAUGUCAACAUUUGGGACUUAUAGAAAAUCCCAUUCUAAUUUAUUUAACAUCCUUCUCAUUAGAGUCAGUCUAACUCUGUAAACACCCUCAUUACUAACACAACCCACAUACUCAUAAAAAAACACUUGUCGUGAAAUCAAUCAAUGUAGAGCAGUGUCACAAACCACGGAGGCCCCAGAAAAGUGCAAUCAAACGGUGAGUUUAUUAACACCCAGGAGAAAACAUCAGCAUACGUCUUCUGACAAAAAUACAUGUUGAGAACACUUAUAAAGCAGUGAGGUACACCCCCCCCCCCCCCCCCCCCCCCCCCCCCCCACAUGGCGUAAAAAUAGGUUAAAGACGGCAGUUACAGUAAAUGGUACAUCUUAGAUGGCUAUAAACAGACAUAGAACUACUCUUUUCUAUAACACCUUCCAAACAAGGUAAUAACUUCAAGCCUUCAAGGUCUCUGAGGGCUGGUUGUCGACUCCAGUCAUCUGUUACCAAGUAGACCAAAAUGCAGUUGGAAGCUAAAUGAGUUAAGGCCUCAGGCCUGACACAUUCCUAGAUUAUCUGUGUUAUAUGUAUUGUAAGCAUGCAUCCAAUCAUCCUUCUAUGUUCUAGUUUCCCACACCAUGGAUCACGUGGACAGUCACACCAGUGAAGCUUAAAACCUUUAAUGAACCGAACAUCAACUCGAAAUAAGCACAAAUAUGCAAUGUGUACGAAAUACUCCUGGCCGUACCUGUAAUAAAAGUUAACAUAAUAAAAGGAUCCUUAAAUUAACAUCUUCAAUAAACGACUUUAAUGCAAUAUCAAUACUGUGAGAAAUAUUAUUAAAUGGAAUAAUGCUGUAAAGAAUGUUAUUAAUCCAAUUGUAAUGCUGUAGGUUAUAUGGCAGCAAUAAAAGAAUUUCUGUAUCUCCACACACUCUUGCAGAAAAGGUAUGAAAAACAUUCUGUGCUUAGGAAACAGCAGAAACGAACAGGAUCUGUGUGUGUUAACUAUAAAGUUUGGAAAUAAAGGUAGAGUAACAAACAGUU